rnacentral:misc_RNA from 1 species
UUUCCGUAGGUGAACCUGCGGAAGGAUCAUUACAGAGUUCAUGCCCUCACGGGUAGAUCUCCCACCCUUGUGAAUCUCACUAUCUGUUGCUUUGGCGGCUUGUGUUACAGCAGCCGCCAGAGGACCCUAAAACUCUGAAUGUCAGUGUCGUCUGAGUACUAUAUAAUAGUUAAAACUUUCAACAACGGAUCUCUUGGUUCUGGCAUCGAUGAAGAACGCAGC